AAGGUAGUGUAGUUAACACCUGCAUUAUUUGACGUUACCUACAGAAGAAGCACCGGCUAACUCCGUGCCAGCAGCCGCGGUAAUACGGGAGGGUGCGAGCGUUAAUCGGAAUUACUGGGCGUAAAGCGCAUGCAGGCGGCCUGUUAAGUCAGAUGUGAAAGCCCGGGGCUUAACCUCGGAAUUGCAUUUGAAACUGGCAGGCUAGAGUCUUGUAGAGGGGGUAGAAUUUCAGGUGUAGCGGUGAAAUGCGUAGAGAUCUGAAGGAAUACCAGUGGCGAAGGCGGCCCCCUGGACAAAGACUGACGCUCAGAUGCGAAAGCGUGGGGAGCAAACAGGAUUAGAUACCCUGGUAG
rnacentral:rRNA from 1 species